rnacentral:rRNA from 1 species
AGCUAUACAUGCAGUCGAGCGAACAGACGAGGAGCUUGCUCCUCUGACGUUAGCGGCGGACGGGUGAGUAACACGUGGGUAACCUACCUAUAAGACUGGGAUAACUCCGGGAAACCGGGGCUAAUACCGGAUAAUACAUGAAACCGCAUGGUUUCAUGAUGAAAGACGGUUUUGCUGUCACUUAUAGAUGGACCCGCGGCGUAUUAGCUAGUUGGUAAGGUAACGGCUUACCAAGGCAACGAUACGUAGCCGACCUGAGAGGGUGAUCGGCCACACUGGAACUGAGACACGGUCCAGACUCCUACGGGAGGCAGCAGUAGGGAAUCUUCCGCAAUGGGCGAAAGCCUGACGGAGCAACGCCGCGUGAGUGAUGAAGGUCUUCGGAUCGUAAAACUCUGUUAUUAGGGAAGAACAAGGAUGUAAGUAACUAUGCAUCCCUUGACGGUACCUAAUCAGAAAGCCACGGCUAACUACGUGCCAGCAGCCGCGGUAAUACGUAGGUGGCAAGCGUUAUCCGGAAUUAUUGGGCGUAAAGCGCGCGUAGGCGGUUUUUUAAGUCUGAUGUGAAAGCCCACGGCUCAACCGUGGAGGGUCAUUGGAAACUGGAAAACUUGAGUGCAGAAGAGGAAAGUGGAAUUCCAUGUGUAGCGGUGAAAUGCGCAGAGAUAUGGAGGAACACCAGUGGCGAAGGCGACUUUCUGGUCUGCAACUGACGCUGAUGUGCGAAAGCGUGGGGAUCAAACAGGAUUAGAUACCCUGGUAGUCCACGCCGUAAACGAUGAGUGCUAAGUGUUAGGGGGUUUCCGCCCCUUAGUGCUGCAGCUAACGCAUUAAGCACUCCGCCUGGGGAGUACGGCCGCAAGGCUGAAACUCAAAGGAAUUGACGGGGACCCGCACAAGCGGUGGAGCAUGUGGUUUAAUUCGAAGCAACGCGAAGAACCUUACCAAAUCUUGACAUCCUUUGACAACUCUAGAGAUAGAGUCUUCCCCUUCGGGGGACAAAGUGACAGGUGGUGCAUGGUUGUCGUCAGCUCGUGUCGUGAGAUGUUGGGUUAAGUCCCGCAACGAGCGCAACCCUUAAGCUUAGUUGCCAGCAUUAAGUUGGGCACUCUAAGUUGACUGCCGGUG